rnacentral:rRNA from 1 species
AUUGAACGCUGGCGGCAGGCCUAACACAUGCAAGUCGAACGAGUGGCGGACGGGUGAGUAAUGUCUGGGAAACUGCCCGAUGGAGGGGGAUAACUACUGGAAACGGUAGCUAAUACCGCAUACCAUCGGAUGUGCCCAGAUUGGAUUAGCUAGUAGGUGGGGUAACGGCUCACCUAGGCGACGAUCCCUAGCUGGUCUGAGAGGAUGACCAGCCACACGGGAACGGGGACACGGCCCAGACUCCUACGGGAGGCAGCAGGGGGGAUUAUUGGACAAUGGGCGCAAGCCGGAUGCAGCAAGGCCGCGUGGAUGAGGAAGGCCUUCGGGUUGUAAAGUACUUUCAGCGAGGAGGCGUUACUCGCAGAGGAAGCCCCGGCUAACUCCGUGCCAGCAGCCGCGGUAAUUC